CACGGGGGGAGCAAGCGUUGUUUGGAAUCACUGGGCGUAAAGGGCGUGUAGGCGGUCAGGUAAGUGGGAUGUGAAAUGCCUCGGCUCACCCGAGGCACUGCAUUCCAAACUGCUUGGCUUGAGUAUGGGAGAGGAUGAGGGAAUUCCUGGUGUAGCGGUGAAAUGCGUAGAUAUCAGGAGGAACACCGGUGGCGAAGGCGCUCAUCUGGCCCAAUACUGACGCUGAGGCGCGAAAGCUAGGGGAGCAAACGGG
rnacentral:rRNA from 1 species